rnacentral:lncRNA from 1 species
GAAAGAAGCAGGAAUAAGGAGAACAAGGAAGAAGCAGAAUAAAGAAAAUCGAUUACGAUAGAGAAAGGCAGCUGAAGAGUUAACAGCAUCCCGUCUGCAGGAUACCUACUGCUACAAAAGAUAACACAGGGCAAACAUAGAGAACAAGCUCUUCAUCUUUUUCACUUAAAUCUGAGCAAAUGCAGCACCAAUGAGAGAAAGCAGAUCUGCAUGCAUCCAUGCGGUCCUCAUCCCCAAACAAGAUGAUGGAUCAUGUUUGUCUGCCUUCUUGUGGAAGCUGACUCCAGGCUCACCAGACGCUGCCAGAGUGGUGAUUUAGGAAUUCAGAGUGGUCCUGCCAAAUUGCUCUGCUUACAUCACUUGCUGAGGACAGCAGCCAGGUAGCUAACGGUGAACUUUGAGUCACUGUUGAUCUGGGCCAGACAUGAAAUAGUGAUAUAAAGAGAAAAAGCUCUCCACUUCCAGUUCCUGAACCAGCAAGUCAU